CGCGUAGGCGGCUUCUUAAGUCAAUAGGUGAAAACUGUGGGCUCAACCCACAGCCUGCCUUUGAAACUGGGAGGCUUGAGGACAGGAGAGGGGAGUGGAAUUCCCAGUGUAGCGGUGAAAUGCGUAGAUAUUGGGAGGAACACCAGUGGCGAAGGCGGCUCUCUGGCCUGUAACUGACGCUGAGGCGCGAAAGCGUGGGGAGCAAACG
rnacentral:rRNA from 1 species